rnacentral:lncRNA from 1 species
CCAAGAUGGCGGCUGCCGGUCCUGGGCUGGUUCUGACACAGGUAGUAAAGGCGGUCAGAUUCUAAAUGUAUUUUCGAAGGCGAGUGCACCACUGGGGUGUGGAAACCAAGUCUCUGAGGAGACAGAUGAGUGGAGUCGACAGCAAGAACACCAAGAAUGUGCUUCACCGACAGGGCUGAACCAGCCAGGGAGAGGCUUGAGCUGAGGUUUGAAGGAGAGCCACUGCGCUGCGCAUCUCUAGGCAGUGAGGCCAGAGCCGUGAUCUGUGGCAGAGGCCCCUGCCAGGCGUUUGCCAACAGGCAGUGGAGGCCACUGGGAUUCUUGGCAAGUGGAACCCCAGAUGCAGCAGAACCCCAUCAUCAGCCUCAGACACAGAGCCGGACGCAGAGCAAGCACUCCCCACUGAGACGAAAGCCAUGCCCUAGAGGUCCCUGCCCGAUGCCCCAGGGGCCCUGA